GGACUGCAUUACGUCUAUACAGCAAAUUUAAACCGGUUGCAAACCAGCUUAAUUGCCGGAAAUUUUCAAAGAACCUCAAGAAUUGCAAUUUUUGCAAAGGUGCUGAGAACCCUCUUAAAGGCCUUUCCCCCAGAAUUUCAUGUGGGACAAAGCCAUGAUGAUAAUCCGGUUUAAAUUUGUAGAGUAGAUAGUUUCUAAUAUUUGUAUACUAGUCAGCAGAUGCCAUCCUUGCUUCAGUCAAACAAACGGCCAACGUAUUUCUUUGUUGGUUUCCGUGACUUGCAGGAGUUGAUCUAGCAGAUGCUAGCAUUUCACAGUUCUUGGGAACGAUUUGUGCUCUGAUUUUUACUAUUCCUUUUUCUUUAUUCUUUUUAGUCAUAACUAAAAGCCAGGGUCCACUUUUGUUACAUCGGUGAAACGUCUGGCGUGUAAGAUCCGAUUUUUCCCCAGUUGCUAUUGAAGUAGAAGGGAAGUCAAGUACAGCAUUUGGAACCAGAAUUUCACCUUGCGAGUCACGUGAGAGAAUUCAGAUUUGUUGUCUGUUCAGUGUAAACUGAAUCUGAUUUAGGGUAUAAUAUAGGUGCCACUGACAUCAGGGGAGCGGGGGAAUCAGUUAUUGAUGAACUGGAUAUGGCAGCCAUUAUUUCACUCAUGUCAUUAAGGAAUUGGUCCAGAGUAAUUUCAAUUUAGGAGGAACUGCUUUUGCCUUUUAAAUUAGUGUGGAAUUCAUGUACUGGGUUUGAUGAAACCUAUAAUAUUUCCCCUUGUUACCAAGUAAGAGAAUUCCAAUGGAAAAUCAGUAGAGAAAACUGGAGUUCCACCAUAAUCACCAAGGAGUUGUAUUCUACUAAGCUCUACUCAAGAGUAACCCUUUGAAAUUAAAGGACCUAAGUUAAUCAUAUCUAUUAAUUUCAGUGGGUUUAUUCUGAGUCGGGCUAGCAUUGGAUACAAUCCAAGAGUCCAAUCUAGUAAUGUUGACACAAAUAGGAAUAUAUCCAUUGGGGCAUAUUCUGGAACUGUUGCAAUGGGAACAGAUUUAUCCUUGCAAGUGAAAAAAUCAAUAUUUCUAAAGUUCUUCCACAUUUCUAAACAACUCCAGAACACGACCAACUAAGAAGGAUUUGCUGAGAGCCUCACUGGGUGAGAAGGUAUUCUCUUCAGGAGGGCAUCCGAGUUUAGAUUGGGGGAGUUAAUCUUUUGGCCCCUAUACCAAGUCUGUGAUGCAAACAACCCCCUUCCCAAAGCUGCAUUGAGUUGUGCAUUUCAUCAGUGGCUAAUAGCAGCUUUGGGAGGGAGGGUUCGAAUUUGUCUCAAGGAAUCUGUGCAGGGAGCAAAGGGUUAAAUCCCCCCUGUACCACAGGCCUGGUCCAAAUCGGAGCUGUUUUUACCUCCAGCCAUGGGAUUUUUGCAUCCCAAAUUGUUUUGGCCUUUCAUUUGACAAGUCUGCAGCUGUCUGGGCUUAAAAAGAAAUGUGAGGUUGUUUGCCUUCUGUCAAAAUGGAUCUGUACUUCUUUGGGGGGGAAAACAUUCAUUUUAACUGUUUCGGUGCUUAUAGAAUGACCUUUUCUGCAUGGAGUUGCAAAUGAAUUUUUCCUUCCCCAUCUGAACUCUGCUAUUCCUUUCCACCCCAUCCUGAACCUUGGUUCCAUUUCAGCACCACUUCAAGGGUCAAACAGCUCUCUGCUGCUGAGCAGCUUUUGCCAACCUGGUGCCCUCCCACUGUUUUGGACCAAGACUCCCAGAGCAGCAGGAGGGCAAAAGGUUGGCGAAGAUGGCUACAGACUUUAAAAAAACCAUUUUUAAUGCAGUUCCCAUAUUCCCUAGGGAGAAGGUGCUUGUCGUACCCUUUUCUUGGGGAAUAAUGGGGCUAUUCUACAAGUAGGAACUCUCUCAGCACCUUCACUAUACUGCAGAAUAAAGCUGGGGGUGGGAGAACAGUUAUGGCAGCUAAAUUGGCAUAAGUUUGCAGUGAAGGUGCCUCCUCCAGAUGUACAACGGAGAAUGCAAACUCUUUAGCUUAGCUGAAUCCAGCAAUUUAUUCCAUCAUAUAUUCGGGCACGUAUUGGAGGGCUGUUGUGGACUUCGAUUUUCUUUUUCAGCAUGGUGCAGGAUAUAUAUUCUCCACCUGUAAACAGUUCUGUCUUACCUUGGACCAUUCUUGUCUCAGUUUCUGGUGUUGCUUUUUUGUCAUAGGAAAUCAGUCCUUGGAAGCAGGUCAUGCAUUCCAUCCAGGGUUUGGGUUUUAUUUUAUCAGUUGUUACCUGGUUUCCCCCAACCCCUUUCUUUCUUUCUUCCUCUCUCUCGCUCUGUAAAAACCCGAGAGAGGAAGAGAGAGAAGCUAAGAAAUGUUAACCCAUCCAUAAAGAGAAGAAGAUGAUUACUAGUUAGACUCGGUGUCUUGAGUUCGGAGGCAUAUAGUAAAGAGAAGAUUUUUUAAAAGUUAAAAAAAGAAAAGAAAAUAAUGAUGUUGCACAACUUGUAGGAAAACAAAGAAGGGAAAGGGUUAUUGUAUUAAAUGUGCUAAAUUACAUUAAGAACUUAAUUUUAUUAAAGUAUUAUUACUUAAGAAA